rnacentral:rRNA from 1 species
AUUGAACGCUGGCGGCAGGCUUAACACAUGCAAGUCGAACGGUAACAGGAGAAAGCUUGCUUUCUUGCUGACGAGUGGCGGACGGGUGAGUAAUGCUUGGGAAUCUGGCUUAUGGAGGGGGAUAACGACGGGAAACUGUCGCUAAUACCGCGUAGAGUCGGGAGACGAAAGUGCGGGACCGCAAGGCCGCAUGCCAUAGGAUGAGCCCAAGUGGGAUUAGGUAGUUGGUGGGGUAAAGGCCUACCAAGCCGACGAUCUCUAGCUGGUCUGAGAGGAUGACCAGCCACACCGGGACUGAGACACGGCCCGGACUCCUACGGGAGGCAGCAGUGGGGAAUAUUGCGCAAUGGGGGCAACCCUGACGCAGCCAUGCCGCGUGAAUGAAGAAGGCCUUCGGGUUGUAAAGUUCUUUUGGUGACGAGGAAGGCGUGAUGUUUAAUAGGCAUCACGAUGACGUAAUCACAGA